GCGCAGCCGCUCACCCGCCUCCCCGCCGGCGGCCGGAGGGUCCCGCGGAGCCCCGCCCCCCCGGCGCCACAGCGCGCGCGGCCUCCGCCGGGACAGCCGGGAGCUGCGGGCGGCCGCCGGCCCCUCACGGGCCGCUGCCCCUCCACCCCCACCCCCGCCGAGGAAGGUGUCAGUUACUCCAGAGCCCGGAUAAUGAGAGAAACCAUGGGUGUUUGAAGUGAUAAUCAAACCGGGGGUAUACCUAGUGCAAAGACUUUGUCAGGUCUCUCAUAGGUAAAAAUGGAAGAAGAAAGUAACAGGAAACAGCAAAAUGGAUAGUUGUAAGAAGAAAGAUUUAUUCAGCAAAUGUGAUGUGCUAGUACUUUGAGGAAGUAGAUACAGCAGCUAUGAAAUGUAUAAAUGCUGAUGGCAAAUUAUAAUUGGUUUAGGUGUAUUAGUGCUAUGAUAUAAGUGUUCAGCUGUGAUCCAUGUUAAAAAACCCUGUAAAAGGUGUCCUAACAUGGAAAUUUGUUGGGCUUUAGGAAGCAUCUUGUAAAAAGUGUCCUGACAUGGAAAUUUGUUGGGCUUUAGGAAGCAUAAUCCAGGUCUAUGAAAUAGCCAAAGUACGUGUCUUUUCAAAAAAGUGUGUAAAGGAAAAACAAAUCACUCAUUUGGUUCUUUUUUGCUGGCUUCAAAACUUGUAAGGCUUUUUGUUUUGUAUGAGUAGAACAAAAGCUGUCUUUUGCAUGAGGAAGAGUUGUCAUCAAGUGCCCUUCAAACCAGGAGUCUCAAAGCAUAUUUCAUUGGAAUAAUUUCAAUGACAUUGAUUUAUUUGGUGUUAAUUCUUUUCCAGAAUUCUAGCUCGGGCAUGUAGCUACGUUCAUUCCUUUUAAGUAGUUUUGAGUAGCCAUUUAAGCCAAUGCUAAAGAUAAAUUUAGCUGCACCUGACUGCUGUCACUUUACUGGGCAAUCACCAACAUUUGUAUACAGUGAACUGUAUAAGGGAGUUAAUCAGAUAAGUAACUUUUUUUUUAAAUAGACUCUUUUACCUUUAGGUGAGAUUUAAUUGAGGAAACUGCCAUCUGACUUGCUGUGCAGUUUGCAUAAAUGUUCAUGCUGACAGAACAGAAGAGAGCAGGAUCAUUUUCAAUUGCAGUAACAGCUCUGGAGCAUGCCUGCAUAACGACAGUGUGAAUUUUAAAACCCUUAAACCCUAUUUCAGUAGGAAAAAAAAAUACUUCUUCACCAUUCAAUAAUUGUUACUAUCUCUUGCCAAAUAUUGAAGGGCCUUUUCUUCUCCAAAUGGGUUCGCCAAACAAAAGUGCAUGCGUGCUGAAACUCCUUUUAGUGUUCUGAACAAGCCAAACCAGAAUAUUAGAAUGGCUGUGUUAAAAAGAAAUUAACCACAGCACAGAUUUCUAGACUGCUACUUCUGACCAAAACUUCUGUUGAUUUUGCAGCAUUUGAAUCACUUUUCGAACAAGCAUUUGUGGCUGUUACCUUCUAAAUGUGCAUGUAUUUGCAUAUGAGCUUUCCUGAUGAAAUGCAUGCAAUGACGUAUGCAUAAAGUGAACUUACUGAAGUCUGCCAAAUGUUUUUUAUUGGGAGACUAAUUUUUAAGUGAUUCCUAUAUAAUGGAAAGAAAAUUAACUUAAUUAUUUUCAAAACCCAACAAUAUUAUUAGAAACCCAUUACUUUUAAAGAAAAUUAGUUUACAUUACUACUUGGUUGGAAAUUCUAAAAAUUAGCUUCUGUUUUAUAGGACUAAAAUCACAAAAUCCUUUUUUUUCCCUGCAGAGUAGCCUUUGAAGUGUAUGUAUGUAAUUUGUAUGCUGGUGAUUUUGUGUCUUAAAUAAUCCUCCAAGUAUUGUUCACAGUGUAUUUCCCAGUGUGUCUGUUGAUAUUGAGUGGGGAUUAAGGACUGUAUUAGUAGUGUUGUACAGAUAAUCUGUAUUCUCUGGGUAAAUUAUUCUUACCGGAAUUUUGUGUGCUUGUGUGGAUUUUUUAAUUGCUUUAUUUCUCCACUGUGUCUUCAAGGUCAGCUGUAUCUUAAAUCUAGGAUUCUCUAUCAUGUAACAGCAGUUGUAAAAUAACCUUCAAUGUACUUCUGGAAAUUAACUGCAUGUCUAAUUCCCAGGCUGAAAGUCAGUAUGCCUUUAUUUUCUGAUUGUACUGUUUAAGGAUGAUUGUGUACUCCUGCAGGUUUCCUGCUAUUAAAAGUUUAUCUGCAAGAGAAUAUUUGAAGUCUGAAAUGCUUUCAUGACUCCUACUAUAUUCUUUUGCAAGUCAUACAGCCUUGUUGGGAUAACCUGUCUGUAAGAACUAAAUGGACAUCAGGUUAAUUCUGUAGAUUCUUUUUGCAGAUCUGUAUCCACUCGUGCUGAAAUUUGCAAUGACAGGAUGAAAAAAAAAAAGGUCUUGCCUAGAGUUCUGGAGAACUGAGAGGCAAAGGUGGGGAAUAAUGAAAUUUUCACAGUGUGAGACUUCUGAGACCAUGCGAGUGCUCACUGAGUAUGCGAUACUAGUGACCAAUACGCAACUUACUCCAGCUUAGGGUUGCAGUUAAGGCAGCAUCCUGGCUUGUCACUUGCGGUUAGCUUUUUGCAAAUGAAAGUUAGCAAUGUCUAUGAUGAUGAGUUUGAGGGUUAUCAGACCCAAUUCCCAUUGCAUUUUGCCUAUUUCACUGGAAUCUUUUUUCCUUUUUUUAUGAUUCUGAUUCAAAUUCAGUGAGUGCAUAGAAGUUGUUGAUGCCCCUUCCCUGGAAGGGUUCAAGGCCAGGUUGGAUGGGGCUUGGAGGACCCUGGGCUGGGGGAAGGUGUCCCUGCCCUUGGGAUAGGGGUUGGAACUGGAUGAUCUCUGAAGGUCCCUUCCAAACCAAACCAUUCUAUGAUUCUAUGAUUUUCAUAAGUUUUGUAUCAGAUCUUCAUUACAAGGAAAUCUAGACAGCUGUUGGCUUUGCAGCACUCUACUUUUAUGUGAGGGUGUUGUUUGUGUCAGGGUCUGCCCAAAUGACGUGGUUUUAUGCACAGGCAUAGCUUUCCAUGUGACCUGAACUAAGCGAUUUACUCAUAGCAGUUGGUAUUCUAGCAUACAGCUACUUCCCUCCCUGCAUAGGAGAGCGGCCUUCUAAAUUACAAGCAACGACUCCGAGUCCAGUCCUGGCUUCCCCUGGAGCUGCUGCAGUUUCGAAGCGUUCAGCCAGCCCAAGCAGGUGAUGACAGCCUACCGUGCUGCAAUGCGGGCAGCGCACGCUAACAGAAAGACAGACAUUUAUAUCACCAUGAAGGAGUUCAAGGGAGGGAAUCUGAGUCAUCUGUUAUUUUCCCGAGUUGCUUGGCCCACCUUAGGAGUGACAGGUUGUCUUUAUUUUGCUGCACAAGACUUGCUAACCACUGGUGUUAAGACCAACCUCUUAAAAAGUACAUGAACUUUUCACAAAGUUUCAGUGAAGUCUGCACAGUGACAAAGAUGUUACUCUUCCUUCUUCAUUGCUAUUUUCACCCUGCAACAAUACUGUAUGUUUAAGUAAACUUUCAUUUGCAAGGUGUUGUGGGAUCAGUAUAAUUUCUUCAAUUCAGGGCACAGCAAAUUAAUGGGAUCCCUCAAAAACAGUUGAGCAUAAAGAGUUUAUAAAUGAACAGAUUGCUAGGAAAACAAGAUUGGUGAUUGUCCAGAUAAGCAAAUGCCUAGUUGCAUUGGCCAUUAGGUAAUUACGAUCAUUAACUGUUUAUCCUGUUUCUGGGAGCUUCCUUUGUCAGGUCUCUGUAGAAUGAUCGUAUACAUCUUUUACAGUGUUUUGCCAAUCGAUGGGGUUAACACAAAGGAUGCAGGCACCAGGUUAAAGAGAUUGGCUUAUUUUACUUUACUUUAAAGCAGCAGAAAGGAUAAACAAGGUAAUGCACCUAAUAAUUUCUACAUAAUACAGAAGUAAGCAGUAGAUAACAAACAAGGCAGUUACGAGAUAAGGCAAUACAUCCAGUGAUUACCGGACAAGUCGUAGUGCUGAAGAGAAAGAUACAUCACCAAUUGCCCUCAUACUUUACCAUCAUCCUGAUCCGUGCUUCAGCUGGGGAGCCCCAUCACAGUGAAGGAUGAGAGAACCUUUCCUGGCAAUUGGGAAGUCCGAUGCGAUGUGUCCACUCGUAGCGGGGGCCUCCAUCCUCACUGUGAGAGGGUCCAGGUUUUAUACAGGUUAACAAACAAAUCUAUAUGAUUGACAAAAGGCAUGGAAGACAUCUGGUGGAUUGGCUCGCCUCACCAUCCUCCUUUGGGAAUCCUCUCCAGGCCUGGCCAGGGCUCAGGGAGGAACCGAAGGAGUUGAUGUACUCAACCUUGACAGCAUGUUUCUAAACUAAGAAAGGUCAAUAUAUUCCCAUAUUGUUUUAUCUAAGCUUCCUAUCUUGCUAAUGAGAUAAUCUAUCCAAGCUACAUAUUUCACUAGGAAAGGCCAAUAUAUUCCCAUAUAGUUUUAUCUAAGCUACCUAUCUCACUAAUGAGAUAUUCUAUCCAAGCUACAUAAUUCGCUAAUGAUCGGAUACCAAUACUGUAUAAUGUUUAGUUGUGAGGUUCGUCUGGAGGGCAACUUUGGCUCAGGGCCUGUUCAGGCUUUAGUACUUCAUACAGUUGAUACGUUCACUUGCUUCCCCAGCGUUUAUAGCACUUCUAGCCUUGUAAAAAUAUUUAGUCAGAAUCAGGAGCAAGUCAUUCACUGAUGAAAUCUCUUGAACUUCGAAGCGAUACGCAGUCUGUUGAUGGGUUAGAAGUGGAACUUGAGGGAGAACAUGCAAUCUCCCCUAAAAUACAACAUAAAUCAGGCCCUAGCAUGACUGAUUUCUGCUAAAUGCUAAUCUGGGCUAUAUUAUCUGAAUUGCAGAGUACACCAGAGUUACCGAUGGUUUGUAACACACUUAUGGAACCGUAGAUAAGGACACAAGUUGCUCAGUGGAGCGAUAACUUUAACACUUUGCCUUAUUCCCAUGCUUUCUGUUCUGAGAAGUGCCUUUGCUUUCUUCACAGCAAGUUUAUAUGUUCUUCACCAACACAGCUACAAAGAGGACAGAGGUUUGCAUCUGCCUCCCCAGAUUGCAGAGGUGUAAGUGUCUUGGAAGCUGAAAAUCCACCAUUCAUGGCAGGAAAGAAGCAGCUGUGGUAGCUGUGUUUCUCAUAUAGUACCAAGCUGAUGGCCCUCUCUUCCACCUGGGAAAGGCUGCUCUGAAGAAAAAGCAUAUUUUAGAGUCUCUAUCAAUCAGAUUAUAGCAAUGCGAGUGGAGAUGCAGUUAAUAAUCCAGCAAGAGCUGCAGCAAGGCUCCUGUGUCCCUUUCCGACGAGCUCCCGAAGAGCUGAGAAGCGCAGCUUUGUCCUGGUGACCUGGGCUGCAUACAAAUCACCACCUCCACGUGCAAAUCACUGCUCCUCCCUUCGGCCGUCUCACCCCUGAUGCUUCCAAGCUCAUUGUCUUCCCCCUUCCAUUGUCUUCAGGGAUAGAAGGAAGUGUCUUGAGACAUAGAUUAUUCUGUUAGUGCCCAUAAAGUUUAAUUAAUUAGACCAGUGCCUGUAAUUGAUGAGAAUUACAGCUGAUGGGGAAUCUGAGGAUGUCAGGUCAUAGAGAACAUAAUAGAAAGUAGGAGUGUUUGAUGGUCACUGUAUUUCUUUCCCUUACUGGAAAAAGGAACAAUUUUUGCUUAAAUGCAUAUAAUUCUUAAAAAGAACACCCAGCAGUAUGCUGUUAUAAAUAAUAAUGUGUGGCUUUUGUAUAUCACUGUCUGCCAGUAGAUUUUAAAAUGCUUUAUAAAAGUGGUAAAUGGAGGCACAAAAGGUGAUGCGAUGUGUGCAGGGUUGCUCACUAUGUCACCAUUAGAUGAAGACUACUGCCCAAUGAGUCCCAGUCUCAUCUGCUGGCUGUAACAGAAAAGCUAACUGAGCUGCUGUUAACACCUUCAGAGCAAUGUAUGAGCCUAAUAUGACCAAGUUACAAAAAUUCAGUGAUUUACUGCUUGAAGGUGUUUUAAUUACAUGAGUGUUUAGCUUGCCUCAACCACGAAAUAAAAUGGAUUAUUACAAACUA